rnacentral:rRNA from 1 species
GACGAACGCUGGCGGCGUGCUUAACACAUGCAAGUCGAACGGAAAGGCCCUUCUUUUGUGGGGUGCUCGAGUGGCGAACGGGUGAGUAACACGUGAGUAACCUGCCCUUGACUUUGGGAUAACUUCAGUAAACUGUGGCUAAUACCGGAUAGGAGCUCCUGCUGCAUGGUGGGGGUUGGAGAGUUUCGGCGGUUGGGGAUGGACUGGCGGCUUAUCAGCUUGUUGGUGGGGUAGUGUCUUACCAAGGAGUUGACGGGUAGCCGGCCUGAGAGGGUGACCGGCCACAAUGGGACGGAGAUAAGGCCCAGACUACUACGGGAGGAAGCAGUGGGGAAUAUUGCACAAUGGGCGGAAGCCUGAUGCAGCAACGACGCGUGCGGGAUGAAGGACUUCGGGUUGUAAACCGCUUUCGCCUGUGACGAAGAGUGAGUGACGGUAAUGGGUAAAGAAGCACCGGCUAACUACGUG